CCUACGGGGGGCUGCAGUAAGGAAUAUUGGUCAAUGGAGGAAACUCUGAACCAGCCAUCCCGCGUGAAGGAUGAAGGGGCUCUGCCUUGUAAACUUCUUUUGUCUGGGGCGAAAAAGCUCGAUUUAUCGAGAACUGACGGUACCAGAAGAAUAAGCACCGGCUAACUCCGUGCCAGCAGCCGCGGUAAUACGGAGGGUGCAAGCGUCAUCCGGAUUCACUGGGGCGAAGGGGUGUGAGUGAGGCAGUGGUGAAAGGCUGUGGCUUAACCAUGGAAUUGCCAUUGAUACUGCAGAGCUUGAAUGAGGUUGAGGUUGGCGGAAUGGUACAUGUAGCGGUGAAAUGCUUAGAUAUGUCAUGGAACACCGAUUGCGAAGGCAGCUGACUGGACCUAUAUUGACGCUGAGGCACGAAAGCGUGGGGAGCGAACAGGAUUAGAUACCCUUGUAGUC
rnacentral:rRNA from 1 species